UGUCUAUAGCCAUGCUACCCUGAACAAGCCUGAUCCCAUCUGAUCUCGGAAGCUAAGCAGAGUCGGGCCUGGUUAGUACAUAGAUGGG
rnacentral:miRNA from 1 species